rnacentral:rRNA from 1 species
GGAGGGCGCAAGCGUUGUCCGGAAUUACUGGGCGUAAAGGGGGCGCAGGCGGCUUGUUAAGUCCUGUGUGAAAACCCGCGGCUCAACCGCGGAAUGCCACAGGAUACUGGCGAGCUAGAGACGGGUAGAGGCGAGUGGAAUUCCCGGUGUAGCGGUGGAAUGCGUAGAUAUCGGGAAGAACACCAGUGGCGAAGGCGACUCGCUGGGCCCGUUCUGACGCUCAGGCCCGAAAGCGUGGGGAGCAAACAGGAUUAGAUACCCUGGUAGUCCACGCCGUAAACGAUGGGCACUAGGUGCUGGGAAGUGUGACCUUUUCGGUGCCGUAGCUAACGCGUUAAGUGCCCCGCCUGGGGAGUACGGCCGCAAGGCUG